UACGUAGGGUGCAAGCGUUGUCCGGAAUUAUUGGGCGUAAAGAGCUCGUAGGCGGUUUGUCGCGUCUGCCGUGAAAGUCCGGGCUCAACUCCGGAUCUGCGGUGGGUACGGGCAGACUAGAGGUAUGCAGGGGAGAACGGAAUUCCUGGUGUAGCGGUGAAAUGCGCAGAUAUCAGGAGGAACACCGGUGGCGAAGGCGGUUCUCUGGGCAUUACCUGACGCUGAGGAGCGAAAGUGUGGGAGCGAACAGG
rnacentral:rRNA from 1 species